CAUGUAGGUGGACCAGUUAGUCUGUUGUGAAAGUCAAAGGCUCAACCUUUGAAAGCCGAUGGAUACUGUUGGUCUAGAGUACGGAAGAGGCGAGUGGAAUUCCCGGUGUAGCGGUGGAAUGCGCAGAUAUCAGGAGGAACACCAAUAGUGAAGGCAGCUCGCUGGGACGUUACUGACACUGAGAUGCGAAAGCGUAGGAAGCAAACA
rnacentral:rRNA from 1 species